rnacentral:rRNA from 1 species
CUCAAAUUUGAAAUCUGACCCUUUGGGUCCGAGUUGUAAUUUGUAGAGGGUGCUUCGGGCGAGGCCUAGGUCUAAGUUCCUUGGAACAGGGCGUCAUAGAGGGUGAAAUCCCGUAUGUGACCGGCGAUCCAGCCCAUGUGAAGCCCCUUCGACGAGUCGAGUUGUUUGGGAAUGCAGCUCAAAAUGGGUGGUAAAUUUCAUCUAAAGCUAAAUACCGGCCAGAGACCGAUAGCGAACAAGUAGAGUGAUCGAAAGAUGAAAAGCACUUUGAAAAGAGAGUUAAACAGUACGUGAAAUUGUUGAAAGGGAAGCGCUUGCAAUCAGACCUGUCCGUGGGUGAUCUGUCGGUACUCGUACCGGUCAAUACCUCGCCCAUGAUCAGGCCAGCAUCGGUUUGGGCGGUGGGAUAAAAGCCCCUGGAAUGUAGCUUCUUUCGGGGAGUCUUAUAGCCUAGGGCGUAAUGCUGCCAGCCUGGACCGAGGACCGCGCUUCGGCUAGGAUGCUGGCGUAAUGGUUGUAAGCGACCCGUCUUGAAACACGGACCAAGGAGUCUAACAUCUAUGCGAGUGUUUGGGUGUUAAACCCGGGCGCGGAAUGAAAGUGAACGGAGGUGGGAGCCCGUAAAACGGCGCACCAUCGACCGAUCCAAAAGUUUUCGGAUGGAUUUGAGUAUGAGCAUAGCUGUUGGGACCCGAAAGAUGGUGAUCUGUGCUUGAAUAGGGUGAAGCCAGAGGAAACUCUGGUGGAGGCUCGCAGCGGUUCUGACGUGCAAAUCGAUCGUCAAAUUUGAGCACAGGUUAGUGAUUUUUGACGAUCCUUUAGGGGUUCUAUGCUAAUAAAUUUUAAAUAGGGGCGAAAGACUAAUCGAACCAUCUGAAAAAAACCCUAAGCUUGUUACUGGAUGGUUCCCCUGGGCUUGAAUGGCCUGGGUCCAGUCCCUAAAUGAGGGGCGACAUCGCUAGUCUUCGGGUAUGCCUUCGGGCGAUCCGCAGCGGGACAUGACCCGUUCACAGACUAUACGGCGGUGGCCGCAAGCUUUCUUGCAGUUAUGAGAUAGCCGAAACGUGCCCUUAACGGGGCCCGUAGCAUGAGUAGCUGGUUCCUGUCGAAGUUUCCCUCAGGAUAGCAGUAACGUUUUCAGUUUUAUGAGGUAAAGCGAAUGAUUAGAGGUCUUGGGGCUGAAACAGCCUUAACCUAUUCUCAAACUUUAAAUAUGUAAGAAGUCCUUGUUACUUAGCUGAACGUGGACAUUUGAAUGUACCGUUACUAGUGGGCCAUUUUUGGUAAGCAGAACUGGCGAUGCGGGAUGAACCGAACGCGAGGUUAAGGUGCCGGAAUGCACGCUCAUCAGACACCA